GGAGUUUGGACCGUGUCUCAGUUCCAAUGUGGGGGACCUUCCUCUCAGAACCCCUACUGAUCGAUGGCUUGGUGGGCCGUUACCCCGCCAACAACCUAAUCAGACGCAUCCCCAUCCCAUAGCGGUGAACCUUUGUUCCAAAUUAGAUGUCUGCUUCGGAAAACAUAGGGUAUUAAUCCGCAUUUCUACGGGCUAUGCCCUACUAUGGGGAAGGUUGGAUACGCGUUACUCACCCGUGCGCCGGUCGCCAUCGACAAAAGCAAGCUUUCGUCAUGAUGCCCCUCGACUUGCAUGUGUUAAGCACGCCGCCAGCGUUCGUCCUCGAGCCACUGAUCAAACUACU
rnacentral:rRNA from 1 species